CAGCAAAAAAAGCAUCGCCUUUCCCUUCUUCUGCGUAUAAAAAUGCUGACUUCUUGCGUUGAGCAAUAUCGUUCCAUCCAAUUAAUUAUGACUCCUCUUCUUUCUAAGGGCGCUCCCACCCAAGUCACAAGUUAAUCCAGUAUAUACUUUCAAGUCGUUUCGUGGCAAUGGUGUAAAAAUGGCGCGACUUACAGAGAGCAAACAGUAACGCAUCAAAAGAUACUAGGCAGCUUUCUUUCCUCGCUUUCACGAUCGAAUCGCUCGGAAGAGGACGAGGACUUACCAGCUCAAAAAUCUCUUUUUCGUCCUUUACGGUGAACUCCGUACCCUUUUUCACUGCCGCUAUCGACGGUCUCUGUUAGUUAUGGGGCCCUUUGCCGUUUCCUCUACUCACCGGAUUUCUAAUCCAACGGUCCGAACAUCGGUUACCCAUAUACGACAUUUUGAAUGUGAAAGACUUACGCCAUCUCGUUCCCCCAUAACAUACUCGUUCAACACCCACCCUCUCUGUAUCGCUCUCCAUCUCAUAAUCUUCAUCAACCUCCCGUCCCCAGUAUUCCCUAAUAGCAUGUACGGCAAACUUUCAAUGGGACAGAGUCUUAUAUCAAUUUGCCUAUGCAAACUAUUUGCUUUUGGAAGCUGGGUCAGAGCGAGGACCUUACUUUCGCCUUGCGAGAAAAUCUUUGCUGGAGAGAUGACGUUGGCGGACACUAGCGCGGCAACAACUUUUGACAUAAGACUGUUGGGAUCUGCUUUUCUCGCUCUUUUACCUUCUUUUUCCUUUUUGGUAUAUGAUCUGUUGCGAGACAACGACAUCAAUGUCAGAUGAAAGGCUUUCCCCUCUCCGAUAAGAGCCCAUGGUUGCAAAGUCAACUACAACCGUGUCAGGUCUCGCAUAGUAAUACCGCAACCAUAUCUCACGCUUGGGAUCCUCUCUUCGUAGGGCAUCCUUGAUAAUUCUGUCGAAUUGCUCAACCUCUGCUCGCGGUAUCAUCACAUCCAUCUCUUCGUGGUAUUGAAUGGCCAACUACGCAUUCUUCGUGAGGAUUGCCUGUUUGACGACAAGGAUGACCCGAUUACCUUCUGUGCAUCGGAAACAGUAAAUCUCCCACCUUCUGCAAUCAUUAGGUCGCUCAACGUUUCUAUUCCUUCCUCUGCGCUAAAUAAUCUUCAUUAGUAUAUCAUCGGGAUAUCCGUCCCAUGACACUACAUACAAAGCUCUCGCACGGAUCUUUCCAAUCCCGUGGAUUCGAUUGAAUUUCACCAUGGCAUUCCAUCUAUUAUCUAAAACUUCUAGCCUGGGUAUGACCUUUUUCGUGA
rnacentral:sRNA from 1 species